ACAGUUCAGUCAGUAGAGCAUGAGACUCUUCAUCUCAAGGCCGCGGGUUUGAGCCCCGUGUUGGGUG